GUUACAGUAAAACAGCAUCCAGAGAAUAUGUAUCACUUCCCUGGGGGAAGGCAGCAGCGUCUCUGUGAGGUGUCUGUGUCCCAGAGAGAAGCAAGAACUUGCUGAGAGAGGCAGAGUGGUUUUCUCCAUCUUUGGCUGAGGUUCCCACCCCAGACAUUUCAGCUCCAAUGAGCUUUCUAGUGCCGUGGAGAUUGAGGUGCCUGAAGGGAAGAAGCAUCCAAAGUGGAUGUUGUCAACAAGAAACAUUCAUCCAUCAGCAAAACAGCCCAUUCUUAUAGUGUUCGGGGAAAUUUCAGCAGUUUUUUAAAGCUCUUCCGAACAGAUACAAUUAUCAGAGCUCUUCUCCAGCUACAGCACUCAACAGGCCCUAAGAAAAGACACAAUACAUUGCUCUCUCAAGACCUUUGCAGUACCCUGACCAGCUGGAGAAUUCAAAACCCUGGCGCAGCCUGAGGAAGCUGUGCUUCCCCAGCCCGGGGCCCCAGUCCCAGGAGGGCUCCCGCAGGGAUGCACAACCCUGCUCGGCACAUUCAGCGAAAAAGCUUUCACAGGGAACCCCAGCUGGGGCAACUUAAACAUGAAGACCAAAGGCCUAAGUGACGCUCCCUUUGGCCUUGCCUGGAUCCAGCUCUGUGUGGCCAGAAGGUGCCUCCAAAUAAAGUGAGCUCUGCCAUGGAGCUCAGGCGUAGGAUACGCUUACACCAGUAACACCUGGAAGGAAAAGAGCUGAGCGCUGCGUUUCCUGGGAUCAGGCACCAAAAGGAACAGCUCUUCAUGUGACAAUUUCCAGCCCCAAACCCAGCACUGCUAUUCAGCACGGGGUGGGAUCCCACCAGCUCCGGAUGCUGGCUGGACACUGGCAGAUGCUUGCUCAAUAAACGCCCAGCUACCUGCUCCUACGCAGCCAGAGACACAGAGGCGUGCUGUCACCGUGGGGUAAACAGGAAAGGUGGUGGCCAGGUGCCCAGCCAGUGUUAAGCCUGGCUAUGUGCUGCUCUGAAUAGCUGGCCUGUGCCUGGGACAGCCUCUCACGGGGUCGGCAAGUCAUGACUUGAGUCAUGCAGAGGAAAGAUUUGUGGAGAGCUGCCUUGCACAAAGGCCUGAGCAACUCUGAAACCAUCAUGCC